GGUAGGAUACCUGCAGGCCUCGGUCGCCAGUGGGUGUAUCGCGCAAGGCUAUAAUACUCCGAGGAGCUACAUUCCUUGUUCCUUAUCCACCCCUAGCAACCGAUGCUGGCCCGGCACGAGGCCGUGUCUGCUUGCAAGCCCUUCCCUUUCAACAAUUUCACGUACUGUUUCACUCUCUUUUCAAAGUGCUUUUCAUCUUUCCAUCACUGUACUUGUUCGCUAUCGGUCUCUCGCCGGUAUUUAGCUUUAGAUGGAAUUUACCACCCACUUUGAGCUGCAUUCCCAAACAACUCGACUCUUUGGAGAGGAGACACAAGACGGUGUUGUGGUACCUACGGGGCUCUCACCCUCUAAGGCGCCCUGUUCCAAGGGACUUGGUGCCACUAGCCGCGGGGUCUCCCAACCUACAAAUUACAACUCCCGAAGGAUUUCAAAUUUGAGCUUUUGCCGCUUCACUCGCCGUUACUGAGGCAAUCCUGUUGGUUUUCUUUUCCUCAGCUUAUGA
rnacentral:rRNA from 1 species